rnacentral:tRNA from 1 species
UGGGAUAUAGCAUAAAUAAUGUAUUUCGCUUACACUGAAAUGAUGGCUUAAUAGCAAGCCUUUCCCGA